rnacentral:rRNA from 1 species
GGGCUCACACAAGCGGUGGAGGAUGUGGCUUAAUUCGAGGCUACGCGAAGAACCUUACCUAGACUUAACAUGUUUGAGAAUCUCUGUGAAAGCAGAGAGUGCCUUUCGGGGAACUCUUACGUAGGUGCUGCAUGGCUGUCGUCAGCUCGUGUCGUGAGAUGUCGGGUUAAGUCCCUUAACGAGCGAAACCCUUAUCUUCAGUUGCCAGCGAGUAAUGUCGGGGACUCUGGAGAGACUGCCGGUGUUAAACCGGAGGAAGGUGGGGAUGACGUCAAGUCCUCAUGGCCUUUAUGUCUAGGGCUGCACACGUCCUACAAUGCAACGUACAAAGCGACGCGAAAUCGCGAGAUCAAGCAAACCGCACAAAACGUUGCCCAGUUCGGAUUGCAGGCUGAAAUUCGCCUGCAUGAAGCCGGAAUCGCUAGUAAUCGUAGGUC